ensembl:lncRNA
UGGGAGGCAGAAUCUGGCUCGGGGGAAGUGUGCUGCAAUCCAUUAGUGAUGUCUGCCAUGCACAGAGGUGCGGGAGCUUGGGAAGCUGUGUUUCCACCUGUAGACUCCAGGCCAACAGAGCCUCUAAUCUGCGUUCAAGUAGUGUUGGGUGCCUGGCCUGGCCCUCCAAACCAACUCUGCAUUCUCUCCCUUUCCGGGUGAGAAAGAAGCUCCUGAGAUCUUACAGCUUCUGUGUGGCAGAGCUGGGCUCUGAAGCCCGGUUUCCCAGAUCCCAGUUUCCCAUAGCGUCCCACUGUCCCAUUCCUCUCUUUGCUCCGGCUGCUAGGGAGCUCAGCCUGGAGCUUUGGGCUGGCUCUCAGGGGCCAUAUCAGCCUAGGCUUUGGGUCAUAUUUGUGUCAGCCCCAUCCUCAUACUUUCAUCCUCCCUGCCGGGCCUCCCGUGGAGCAGGCCGGACAUAAGUUAUCAACUAUAAAUAAAACCAAGACUUCCGUUCUGGCUCUCACUUUAGUUUCCUGGUGCAUUUUUUUUUUUUUUUUAAGUCCUUCAUUGAGGGAGGUGGGGGAAGAUUCCUAACGGAAGAUGACAUCAUCAUCAGCUGGCCCUGGGGGGCAAGUCCCCAGCUCCACAGGCCCGCGUGGGCCCUGAAUGCCCCCUUUAUGAGGGGUAACCUCAUUACACAAGCCACGCCACAUGGUGGAAUUUCAAAUGGGGUUUUGUGGUUUCUGCCCUUCUCAGCAGAGCGCACAGAGGCAGCUGCGGUCGCCCGGCUUCCUCUGCCGCCGCAGCCCUGGCGCCCGGCCAGCCCAGUGACCACCCGUCCAUCCAUCGUCCCCCGGCCAGGCCUGCCCCGGAGCAACCUCAGCUCUACCAGCAUGAGGGACAGCUCCCACCCUGCUCGGUGUGUGUUCACGGGCUUCCCCACGCCCUCCAGACCUCAGCCCCAUGAAGGCAGGGAUAUUGCGUGUCUUGUUUGCAGCACAAGGCCCAGCCAGUUCAUAGAAUGGACAGACGGAAGGCCGAGUGGCUGCAGGGCAUUCGUGGCCGUCCUCUGUUAAGAGCAUGGGCUGGCUCCUCCCUGAGGCCGGGGGCCAGGGGACAGGCCUGAUGGAUGAUGCUGAGCCCGGGGGGCUCCUGUGGGUGGCGGGCCUGGAACUCCAACCCCAGGGCAGGUCUCAGUGUGCCUUAGUGAGGCUGAAGAAGAAUUUCCCUCUUUUCCUCCUCUGUCUGACUCACACUUAGGUUUUGAAGUUCCCCUUUUUGUCAGCGUUUCUGGCGAGGUUACGGAGUGGUCAGGCGAGGCCGGCAGGAUCUGGCAGAAGCAGGGACCAAGGCCAUGGUUCCAUUCACAAAAACAGGACUUGCCUGCCUCCUGGGUCCUGCCGGCUCAUGAUGUUUGCAGGUUUGCAGGGAAUGAGAUGCUCGGGGGCGGGGUUAAGAGUUCGUGAAUCCACGUGACUGGUGACCAUCUAGGUAUCUCCUUCCAGCCUCUUGGCUCAUCUUCCCUGGAGGUUGGGGCAGGGACAGGGUGAAGUGGGGGGCAGGCAUGGGAGGUGGGGACUCAUUAUGGAGGCCUUGCUCCUCCCCCGGGGGUCCAGGCAGUUUGGAGACCAGGCGGGCUGCCUCCUGCCCUAUGGGUGCCUUCCCCGCUGUGGUUCCCACCCCAGGACGGAGUGGAUCGGAGAGGGAGGGAAGACAGAGUGGUGAGAAGAGCAGGGCGCCUUCGGGGCACACGCUCCCCAACCCAGCCACUCGCUGCUCCCUCCGGCGGGGGGCCCUGGGGUCUCACCAGCGUCACACAUCGACGGCUCAUCAGCUGGUCCUGGAGCCCCUCCGGGCCAGGGCGCUGCGGGUCCAUCAGUGACUUGAUGAGAUCUCUUCCCUCUGGAGCUGCCAGUCUGAGGGUGGAAACUGCUGGACAGCCAGACGGUGAGAAUACAGGGUGGGCAGUGCCUCAGCAGGAGACAGGCAGAGAGGAGACCCAGCCCAGCCAGGGGGUCAGAGAAGCCUUCCAGGAGGAGGGGGGCUGGGGCCGAGCCCUGAAAGGUGAGGAGACCUUAGCCGGGGCGAGGGUGGAGGGGAGGCGUCAGGAAGGGCUCCAGGUGGAGGGGACAGUUCAUGCAGAGGCUGGAGGCAGAGACCCGUCAGGGCAGCUGAGCAGAGUGUCCUCUGUGGGGGGUAGGGUGGGGGGACAAGAAGGCAGAGGCUAGUGGGGAGGGAGGUCCUGACGAACCAGGGGGCAGAACUGAGCAGGUCAGAUGUUCCCCAGCGAUGCUGAGGAGCUGUCGUGGGCUUGGUUUGCUUAGGGAACUGGCUCCUCUCUGCCUCCGUGGGCAGGGUGGGUAGGGACAGCUUACCUACACUCAACACCAAGGCCGGGCCCCAGCCAUGGGACUGCCCCCAGAACNNNNNNNNNNNNNNNNNNNNNNNNNNNNNNNNNNNNNNNNNNNNNNNNNNNNNNNNNNNNNNNNNNNNNNNNNNNNNNNNNNNNNNNNNNNNNNNNNNNGGGACUGCCCCCAGAACGGUGCCAGGAACCGCACCCCCCCUCAGGCCCGGUAGGCAGAAGGAGGUCUAAGACCCAGCGCCUUGGCUGGUUCGGGGAAAGCUGAGACAGGAUGGAGGCGGGGAGGGCCUCAGCCCUGAGCUUGAAACGGAAGAGGGAGUCCUGUGAGAGAGCCACAGCCGGCCCUGAGCCCCCCACGCGGGGCCUGGGCCCUCGCUCCGGGGCAGAGCCGUGUCCCUGGCACUCUCCUGGGACGCGGCUCAGCGUCAACCUUGUCCGCAGGCUCCAGGGGCUCUGGGACCCUGAGGAGUGGCUAGAUGGGGAAGCAGGGGUGGCCCAAAGCCGCCACCCACUGGCCCCAGGUGCAGGCUGGGCCCCCCUCCAGGCUUGGCCACGUGGGCUCCUGUGUGCGCUGUGCCAUCUGCCAUCUGUGGCCGUUUCUUACCUGUAGAGACUAGCUCAGUUACCUUGCUGGCAUCUCACAGUUAAUAAUGGAGCGUGACAAAGCGGCAGGGAAAAUGAGAGAGGUGGCUGAAGGCUUAGAAGGGGCCCGCCAGGGUGUGGCCAGAGGAGGAAGUUUGCUGGAGGUUGCCACGGAGCUUCAUGUUUGUGGUACCUCUGGACCACUCGAGAGGACGAGGAUUUUCAGCGGCAGGUGGGAGAACCUCUCCCCACUCCGCCACCCUUGCCCGACUGGCCACAGCCUCUUGUAACGAACCCACAGGAUACACUGUGCUGGGCUCUCCUGUAGAGGAUUCAUUCUGAUCUUGUGCCUCCCUGGCCGAGCAGGAGCAGACUGAGGUUCCGGGGGAUGUUUCAGUCCGGGCUCACACAGGGCCGUGUGGCCCAGUGGUCUCUCACCUGACCUUCUAAUUCCCCUGCGCUGUUGCUGCGGGCGCUGAAUCCAAUCACAGGAGAGAAACACUUUGAGACGCAAAAGCCUGAAGAGAUCAUUACAAUUAUUCCAAACACAGCCAGUUAAGGUUUUAUGAGGCUGAGCUGUCCCUCUGGAAUUCCCUCUUAUCCAGUGAUCUCAAAGCGCCCGGGUCCAGAAUUAAUUAGGCCCUGCAGCCAAGGACAGCAGACGGCACCUAGGAGCCUGGGAGCGGCAGGCUGGGGCCAGACAGGAAGCCCCAAGCAUUGCUCAUACUCACUGCUGCCCCGGAGUUCAGGGGCCCUUGCCUCCUCCUGGAGGCACCACCCCAGCUGUCCUUGACCAAGCCGGUAGGAGGAUGGGGAGCUUGGGGGCCCUGUUUCCCCAACCACGUGAAUGCUGAAGAUCAGCAGCGGUAGGAGCAAGACCAAGUUCUAGGACCAACCAGGAUGGAAGGAGGGGGUGGUUUCACCUGGUCGAGGGCUUUCCAGGUCCAGAUCUCAGAACACUGGCAACCGAAAGCUCCUGAAGGCAUGGGCUGCGGCCUCAGUCACAGAGGCUGCCGGGAUGGAUAGAGUUCGAUGUCUGGAGAGGAGGAAGUGGGCUGUGGAAGAGUGGGGGUAGAGGAAAGCCACAGAGCCGGGUGUCUGGUCAAAGCUUACUAAGCUUGGUUCGAUGACUAAAUAGCUGAUGGAUAGAUGGAUGGCCAGAUGGAUAUGUGGAAGGAUAAAUGGACUGACCAACAUCUGGAUAGUCUGAGGGAGGGUGGAUGAGUGGGCCUGUGAGUGGAUGGAUGGGUGACAAUGUGGGCAGAUAGAGGGGUGGACGGGCAGAUUGGCAGGUGAUGGGUGAAUGUGUGAGAGCAGAAGGCUGAAUGUGUGGGUGGUGGAUAGGUGAUGGAGGGAUGGACAGAUGUGGAGAAUGGGGCAUGAGAGAACACAGGAUACGUGUGUGUGUGUUCCAAAGGGAUGCUGAGGAUAAGAGGCUACAAGGGGUCACAUUGGAUGGAUGAUGGAUGCACGGAUAGAUGGAUGGAUGGAUNNNNNNNNNNNNNNNNNNNNNNNNNNNNNNNNNNNNNNNNNNNNNNNNNNNNNNNNNNNNNNNNNNNNNNNNNNNNNNNNNNNNNNNNNNNNNNNNNNNAUAGAUGGAUGGAUGGAUGGAUGGAUGGAUGGAUGGAUGGAUGGAUGGAUUGGUGGGUUGGAGACAGUGGAGCAAGUGUAUGGGUCCAUCUCAAAGAGGGAACUUGGGCCAUGAGAGAUGGUGCUAGCAGAGACCUUGGUGGGGCCGGCAGGACCUCCUGGAGAGGGUUUCAGAGUGCCUAGCCCCAGGACCAUGUCCUCCACCAGCUGGGCACCAGCCUGGGGAUCAAUGAGCCAAGCUAGAACCCGGGCCUGGAUCCUCGGUGCUCCAACUUUCUUGGCUCCUUGACUUCGGCUGGUGGCCCCUCUCCAAGCCUUGGUUUCCCUGUCUGUCUGUAACGUGAAGAUGCUGGACGGGACGGGCUUCUGAGGAAGGUGAGGGUGGCGCCGGGCCCCCAGGGGAGGGGCCACAGCUCAGCCCUCCCCUCCCGCUCGCGGGCUCUCCCUCGCCUCUUUCCCGGACUCAGCUCCAGGCACCAGCCAUGCUCCCUCGCCCUGGUGCCCUCCAGGUGUCUGGGCACAAAGCCGGUGGAGAGCCGGGCCCGGGGAAAGGAGACCUGGCCCCUGCCCUGAGUGGGGAGGGUGAGGAGCUGCUGUGAUCACAGACAGGGUGCAGCAGGCCCCUGGCAGGCUUCAGGCUGAGUAACCCUGAGUCACCACUGUCACUUCCUACGGCACAUUCUCUCAUUCAUUCGGUUUCAUCCCAAAGAGCACCUCCCUGGACUCCUCCCUGGGGAAGUUGCCAAGGGUGUGGGGGGC